GUAGGUGGCAAGCGUUGUCCGGAAUUAUUGGGCGUAAAGCGCGCGCAGGCGGUCCUUUAAGUCUGAUGUGAAAGCCCACGGCUCAACCGUGGAGGGUCAUUGGAAACUGGGGGACUUGAGUACAGAAGAGGAAAGCGGAAUUCCAAGUGUAGCGGUGAAAUGCGUAGAGAUUUGGAGGAACACCAGUGGCGAAGGCGGCUUUCUGGUCUGUAACUGACGCUGAGGCGCGAAAGCGUGGGGAGCAAACAGGAUUAGAUACCCUGGUAGUCCACGCCGUAAACGAUGAGUGCUAAGUGUUAGGGGGUUUCCCGCCCCCCUUAGUGCUGCAGCUAACACAUUAAGCACUCCGCCUGGGGAGUACGGCCGCAAGGCUG
rnacentral:rRNA from 1 species